UCCUGUAGCUGGUGAGCUGUGGCCAUUCAGCCUGCCUCUGGAGAUCUCUACCUGGCUGAAGAGGUGUGAUGGUUUGUACAUGCUUGGCCCAGGGAGUGGCACUAUUAGGAGGUGUGGCCUAAGGAGUAGGUGUGUCACUGUGGGCGUGGAUUUUAAGACCCUCAUCCUAGCUGCCUGGAAGUCAGUCUUCUCUUAGAGGCCUGUGGAUGAAGAUAUAGAACUCUCAGCUCUGCCUGCACCAUGCCUGCCUGGAUGCUGCCAUGUUCCUGCCUUGAUGAUGGACUGAAUCUCUGAACCAGUGCCUCUAUGGCGGCGUCUCUUCCCAGCCAUAACACACAGUAAGGCACCAGGUCUGCUGGAAUCUGGUCCCGUGUCCCCUGCCAGGUGGAUCACAUCUCCUCUCAACCCACACCCAGACUUUGACAAACAGCAGCAAGCUUGGAAGUUCAGGCUUUGUUGGAUCUCGGGAGCAACAGGUCUGAGUCAAAGGCCUGUGACUGGAGCCUAAAUCACCCCUAGGCAACAACAACGUCUUAUCUUGAAAAGGCUCUACCUGACCACCGUCAGCUGAUGAUCCAGGUGGCCAUAUAACUGCAGGACUCUUGUCUGGCCUGUGAACAUGCAGCAGAGGACCUCUGUGCUCUUGACUCUCUGGAGUGCCUAUGCUGAUAAACUCUCUAGUCCUGGAUCAUCAAUUCUUCCUGUCUGUGUUUUCAGAGUCGGGAGCUAGACCUGGAUUAGUCUGGACCCACAGUUGGGCCUCUGGCCUAGGACACAUUAGUGUCCUAUACUACAAACAAAAGUGUGGUUGCCUUGUUGGAGCAAUCAGAUGGCCAAGUACAGAAGUUACACUCAAGAGCUGGGAAGACUAAAGGCGGAUCAAGAGAAAGAACACCAUUUGGGUGGAGGGAAUUCUGGGAAAUGUAGUUUAAAAUAGCCAAUUUAAUACUUUGAUGGUACCUGGAAUGGUUUUCAAUUGCAUGCUUGAUUGCUUUUCCUUGGGUGUGCAUGUAUGUGCAUGCACAUACAUGUGCAGAUAUAUACUUGCAUUGAGUAUUGUGAUACUUUUGGAUAGUUUGGGGUUUUAUCUUCAGGCACCAUCUACUUGGUUUGGUUUGGUUUUGCACUGUGAUAUGAUGUGAAAAACCUUCCCCUUAACCAUUCCAUGGAGUGGCUGUAUUGUCAAUGUAGACUCUGUGUGUAUGUGUGUGUGUGUGUGUGUGCCCCUGUGUUUUGAUUACUUUUCUACUGCUGUGACAAACAUCAUGACCAAGGCAACUUCUAGAAGGAAGAGUUCUUUUGGGUUUACAGUUUCAGAGAGUUAGAGUCCGUGACCAUGGUGGCUGGGAAGCAUGGACACAGGAAAACACAUGACUCAAUCAGCAAGCUGGGAGCUCACAUCUUAAAACCCAAGCAGGAAGGAGAGAGAGAGAGAGAGAGAGAGAGAGAGAGAGAGAGAGAGAGAGAGAGAGAGAGCAAACCUAAAAUGAUGUGUGCCUUUUUGAAAAAAAAGACAGUCCUGGGCUAGAGAGAUGGCUCAGCGGUUAAGAGCACUGACUGCUCUUCAGAAGGUCCUGAGUUCAAAUCUCAGAAACUACAUGGUGGCUCACAACCAUCCAUAAUGUGAUCUGAUGCCCCCUUCUGGUGUGUCUAAA